rnacentral:rRNA from 1 species
UACGAGUGCCCCAAGCGUUAUCCGGAAUCAUUGGGCGUAAAGGGUGUGUAGGUGGUAGUGUUAGUCUCAUGUCAAAUUCUUCGGCUUAACCGGGGUACCGCAUGGGAUACGGCACAACUAGAGGAUGCGAGGGGUCUGUAGAACUCAUGGAGUAGGGGUGAAAUCCGUUGAUAUCAUGGGGAAUACCGAAAGCGAAGGCAGCAGGCUGGCGCACUCCUGACACUGAAACACGAAAGCGUGGGUAGCGAAUGGG